UUCCAGACUCCUACGGGAGGCAGCAGUGGGGAAUAUUGGGCAAUGGGCGCAAGCCUGACCCAGCAACGCCGCGUGAAGGAAGAAGGCUUUCGGGUUGUAAACUUCUUUUGUCAGGGACGAAGCAAGUGACGGUACCUGACGAAUAAGCCACGGCUAACUACGUGCCAGCAGCCGCGGUAAUACGUAGGGGGCAAGCGUUAUCCGGAUUUACUGGGUGUAAAGGGUGCGUAGGUGGCAGGGCAAGUCAGAUGUGAAAGCCCGGGGCCCAACCCCGGUACUGCAUUUGAAACUGUCCGGCUGGAGUGCAGGAGAGGUAAGCGGAAUUCCUAGUGUAGCGGUGAAAUGCGUAGAUAUUAGGAGGAACACCAGUGGCGAAGGCGGCUUACUGGACUGUAACUGACGUUGAGGCUCGAAAGCGUGGGGAGCAAACAGGAUUAGAUACCCGGGUA
rnacentral:rRNA from 1 species